rnacentral:lncRNA from 1 species
UAUGGAAUUGAAAAGGGCGACGAAUAUGACUUUGAAAUCUUUCCUACGAAAUCUGACUUCGCGGCAGCGGGGGAAGUAACGAGUGCGGCGAGGGAUGGAGGCGACGCCGUCAGAAGGUGGCGGGGAUGGUGGCGCGCAGAGAUGGUGGCGGAGAAGCUUUGUGCAGCGAGGAGAAGUUAGGGCACUGUUACAUUACGUUUUUUUGACUUCUUUUCCUGAAUUCGUCCAAUCUCACUUUCUGACUUCACGGCAGCGGGGAAAGUAACGAGUGCGGCGAGGGAUGGAGGCGACGCCGCCGGAAGGUGGCGGAGAUGGUGGCGCGCAGAGAUGGUGGCGGAGAAGACUAGCUUGUGCAGCGAAUUGAAGAGGAGAAGUUAGGGCACUGUUACGUUUUGUGACUUCUCGUUUCCUGAAUUCAUUUAAUUUUGGGUUCUUUUCUUUUCAGGUUUUUU